AUAAAUUGAAAUUAUGAAUUACAGCUAGCCGAAAAUGUUUUAAAAGUAUAUAACAAUUUUUAUUUCAUGAUGGUUACUUUUCGCGCACCAAAGAAAGCCUCAAAUCAAAACCAUUAUUUGGUUUGCUAACUUUCUACUAUUUGUUUGGUAAAUUGUGAUGGUUUUCAAAAUAAUACGCCUCACAUUGCGUUCGAGGAUUAGUUUGACUUGAUCAGCCUCUCGGUUUAAGUUUCAACUUUCAAAUAUCUUCUAUAGUGAACCCUAUUAUGUGAUACGUGAUAUAUAUAUAUAUAUAUAUAUAUGGAGAAAGGUUGGGAAAGUUGAUUACUUAUUGUGUACGUAAUUAAAGGUUACAUGUCUUUCCAUGUUCGCAAAUAUUUUAACUAUCGUUUGUGGGGAAAUGCAAUGAGACUUUGGACCGUCAACGACAAGAAUGCCUUGGAAGUUUGUACUCGAUAUGAAUUUGAAGUUUGUAUUCAAGAAAUCGAGUUCCCACUUAUGUAGUUUUCUCGACUGUAUGGUUUAUUACUUCUGUAUUCACUCGGUUGGGUCAUGAUUUGCUUCUUUCAACCCAGAAGUUUGCUGAACAAUAUUCUAGUUUUUUACGCUCAGAUUUUCUGUUUUGUAGUGACAAUGGCCCAAUACUAUUGUUCAUCUACAUUCUAACAUCCAUAAGCUAUUAAGAAUCAGGUUAAAUCAACAAAUUCAUGCUUGACUGCAUGGUUAAAUCAACUAUCAACUAUUCACUUCAUGAUCAAUUAACAAACGAGAUUGAAAAAUGUUAAAUCCAUCCCGGCCCUUCGAAAGCAGUGUCUACAAUUUGAUGAUCAACUAUUAUACGACGAUCAUCAUGUAAGAGAAACUCGUGGUAUAUUGUCGAGGAGCAAGUGGAGAAGAAGAUGAUCUGAACUCUGAAGAACAUGUACCAAUUAAACAUGAACUUAUAGGAGCUUCCACGUUCAAAUCCCUCGUACUUCUCAAUGUUAACUCGUAUAUACAUGAACAGUACGUGAUGUGUGAAUAGUUGAUAGUUGAUUUAACCAUGCAUUCAAGCAUGAAUUUGAUGAUUUAACCUGAUUCUUAAUAGCUUAUGGAUGUUAGAAUGUAGAUGAACAAUAGUAUUGGGCCAUUGUCACUCCAAAACAGAAAAUCUGAGCCUAAAAAACUAGAAUAUUGUUCAGCAAACUUCUGGGUUGAAAGAAGCAAAUCAUGACCCAACCGGACGAAUACAGAAGUAAUAGACCAUACAGUCGAGAAAACUACAUAAGUGGGAAUAACUCGAUUUCUCGACGACCCUCGUAGGACAUAGAAGGAACUCAAGGAAGAGGGACUCAUACUUCAUACAUCAACAAUGCAUAUAUGAUUACAAGCAUAUCAAUAAUAACUAUGAGACAACGAUCGAGGAUCAAUCUCUAAUCCAGAAUAAACUUCUUGAUUCACGUACGAGCUAAAAUGAAAUGGGCAGUUUUGUUUUUUCUUCAUAUAUAGCACAAAUACGAAGAGAAGGACAUUAAACACCUCUAUAUAUCUCUUCCACAAUAUAUCAUACGCACCACUACAGAAGACAUCUCUUUCAUAACUAAUAUAUAAGCUUAAUACUAUCGGUCUCCAUUUCUACCGCGACUGUUCUCUGCGUUUCUUUUGCAGGUUUACUUUCAAUACCGGAAGGCAUCAACUCUAUAACUUGAAUUGGUCGUCGAAGUGAUGUGUUUGAAGACCACCACUUGGUUUUGAGUUUUGACAGAUUCAUCAGCUAAGAACAAGUUCAAUGUGUUUGAAUUGGAUUGGGGCAACUCCAAAAUAUCUAAUUAACUAAUUAUUUAGUAUAGUAUAUAGUAUAUAGCAGCUAACAAACUCUAUAUAUGAUCAUAAUGGGGUCGUGGGGUCACGUAGGUAUCCAUUGAAAAUAGAUCAUAACGUUGAUACUUUCUUGGGAUAGAGGUCCUCGUUCCAUGAAUCGAUUGAUUUGCAUUCAUAAUUUCUUGGACCAUCUCUCUUCGAUCUUUCAUACUCUUGGUCACGUUUUGAUGGUCCUAGCUAGUUCAUAAAUACACCAUUUACUCUGGUGAACAUGAUUGGUUGUUAGUCAUUUCUAGUUGGUGUUAAAUUUUGCGUCAUAUGUUAUAGUAACGAUCAUUUCAAUAUAACUUAAUUUUGAACAAUGCAUUAUAUCGAAAUCUUCUUUAACAGUUAAAAGUACUUAAUUAUAUAUAUAUGUAUAUAUAUGUAUAAAUUUAGUGUCAUUUGAUAAGUAAUUUGAGAACUUAGAAUGUCUUUACCACCUUUCUUUCUUAAUCUCCAAGUCUUUUUAGAUAAAAAUGGUUUGAUCACCAAUUUAAUAGGUAAAACAAACAACUAAAAUACGCAAUGAUGGUCGAAUUUUCCUAAUAUCAAAAAGUGUAAUCAAGAUCAGAAAGUGUCAAUUGAAAGAGGUCUACCAUCUUUUAUCUCUAACACAUCCAUGUCCUUGAAUCAUAACCAAUACCGGUAGAACCCUACGUCGAUCAUUAUGAUUUCUCAUAUCCAGUCGAGUGAUCGUGGAGUUGUAUUACUAGUUACUAGUAGCAACUACAUUCUUCGGAAUAGAUCGAUGGUGACUUUGCUUAUAGGGCAUACAAGUUCUGUGGCACAUAAAGCUAUGGUCCUGUCUUUGUAUUAAAGGAAAGAAUUCGCAGAUGAAUUAUGAAUGCACGUAUACGUACGUCUAAUGAUAUUGGUCACCAAAGAUGAUCAUGAUUGGUUGAACACAUUUACAUUGUAUGGAUUGUAUCUAAAGUAAAUCAUUGGUAAAUAUGAGGUCUAGUAACUAGUAGUAAAACGUUCUUUGCAAUACCAUAACGUUCUUUCCGUUUUCAAUUGAAUAAACCAUGGUUUUUAGUAUAUACUAAACUUUCUUUAGAGUAUUGGUUGAAUUUUUGCAGCAUCUAAAUUGAUUCCUUCCGAUAACAGGAAAAAAAAAACACGAAAAAAGGAGGGGGAAAUGUAAAACGUAGCAAAACGCUGCCGUCGACCGUCGUCCACCAAGGGACCCACAGAACAACCGGCCCAAUAUCUUUGUAAUUUGUAACAAUGUAGGCCGGCCCAAUCUCCCCCAAGAAGUCAACACAUGCCACAUGUCACUCUUACGAGGGGCGCUAUAGUCAGGCUCCAGUGCGGCGCGUCCUACUGCAAACUCAGUGAAGCCGCAAACACCUGUGAUUUUUACGAACGCCGUCGUUCCACGACCAAUCCAACGGUUUAGUACCGCGGGUGACGUGGCACCGUUCCCCGGAGGACACGAUCAGGAUCAGGUCACAUGAAGACACCGCCACGUGGUAGAGGGUAGUAGGGCCCACUCAAAGAUGACACUCGUGAGUCGUGACUGCUAGCUCACUUCCACUUCGGGCAAUCAAUCAAUCAUAUCAUUCCGCGGGAGGAGCCGUAAAAAUUCCAGGUCCCCCUUGAAAUUGCCUUGUUCUCAGCAGGUAAUUACGGAAGCGCCAUUACCAAAGGUCAAAGCCGAGACGCGUCGUGCCUUGUCAAACGGUCCUCUCCUCAAUUUUACCCAGCUGCUUACGCUGUAAUGAAACUAAUCAGUACUUAUUACGGCUGUUAAUUUCUGUCCCAAAAGCGUUGGUGUUUUUAUGAUACUACAUUUAGUGUGUACCUAAAUUUCUGAAAAAAUUGGUGUCUGAUGAAAGGCACAGAACUAAGCUAUCAUUCUCAUGGACAAUUUUUUCUGAUUCAUUCAAAAUAUGGCUGAUAUUCAAAAUGUUAAACGGAUCCGAUUAUGUUUUAUAAACAUAUAUACAUAUACGUAUGGACGGUUUUAAAUUAUUAUUUUGUGACAUCAUUAGUAAGCUUUUUUGUAUUAUCAAACUUUUGGUUAAUGUCACAAUUAUAGCGAGUGAGUGUUUGUAACUUUGAUAUUGAAGAUGACUUGUUGGUCAAAUUAUUAUCCAUUAUGGUUAAUUGGAGCAUAUGUAUUAAUUAUUUUCAGUAAAUUUUUAACAUUACAAAAGUUAAAUACAUAAAUACAUGUUACACAACUCGUAUAUAAUAAUUUUUUGUUUUGAGAAUGAAACUAGUUUAUAAUAGUUUAUUACACCGUGAGUAUGUUAUUGCACAUGAUUAUCUUGGAUAUUUAAAAAACAUAAUUUAUGUUGUCAUAUUUUAUCAAGAUCAUAAAUUGUUAUCGUACUUGUAUCAUUCAUACUUUUUAAAAUCAAUAAGUGUAGUUAUGUAGAAUCGUGAGAACUAAUUUAUAAUUACGUACCUGAAUCGUGAGCUGACCAUGAAAAUGAAAAUGACAAGAAAUCUUAAUUUUUAUCUCAGUAUUUUUUUUAUCUAUUAAGAUAAAAAAUUGAAAAUGAAAAGAGGGAAAAGUGAAAAACCAAAAACGAUAAACUUGCACCAUAGACUCCAUAGUUAUAGAGAACUAAUCUGUUUCACGACCCUACCCUGCUUCACCAUUUCCUCUUGUAAACCAGGGAAGCCCACAGCCUCAGACCAUCCAUUUUUUCUUGUUUCCGUUUUUUGAAAGCUUAAAUUUACCCCCCUCUAAUACCGCAGUUUCUUGAUUUAAUUAUCUCUUAAUUUAGAACAAAUCUUCCUCCUCCUGAAUCAAUCCCAUUUUCAUUACCCUCUUUCUUUCCUAAUCCCCUCUAAUUCUUCAUCUGACUCCCAAAAAAAAAAAAUCUGCUUCUGGGUUUUAAUUUGGGUUUAGAAUAAUAAUAUUAUUAAUGCCAGAAAAGGUCACAAGGUCUUGGUGAAGAUAUAUCUUGUGCCUGACUUUUGCAGAAGCCACAGAAGCUGCAAGAAAAGCCAAAGUCUUUGAGAGCCUCUGAGCUCCACUUUCUAGACCAGUUCAUGGUUUGGUGGGCUUUUCUAGUUUAACACAAGGGUCCUCCUAUCUUUGUUCUUCUUCUUCUUGUUCUUCUUGUUUGUGUCUUUUGUUUUGGUGAUCUGCUAGAAAUGUAUGGAGGCAGACACAACAGAGAGCUGUCCUUCGAAUCCCUGGCUCAAAUCCCAAUCCUGCGGCCGAGCAUCCAUGCCCGGAGGGCCAAUCUGACCGUCAAGUUCCAGGACCUUUAUGGGUUCACGGUGGAAGGGAAUGUGGAUGACGUCAACGUGUUGAAUGAGGUGAGGGAGAAGGUGAGACAGCAAGGGAGGGUUUGGUGGUCAAUGGAAGCCAAUAAAGGAGCCAAUUGGUACUUGCACAAGUCCAUUUCUGAAGGUAAAUCGCUUAAGGCUUCGUUGAAGUUUUCGGCUUUGGCUAAUGCCAUUACUCUCAAGAGGUUGAUCAGGAAGGGCAUUCCGCCUGUGCUGCGCCCCAAGGUGUGGUUUUCGCUUUCCGGGGCGGCUAAGAAGAAGUCCACCGUGCCGGAGAGCUAUUAUAAUGACUUGACCAUUGCCGUCGAGGGCAAGGUCACGCCUGCCACCAGGCAGAUUGAUCAUGUGAGUUUGUUGGUUUGAGUCUUUCUUGGAUGAUAUGAUGGUUUUGUGGUGAAAUGUUGGAUCUUGACAGUUUUUUGAUCAAGUCGUUUUCGGGUUUGGAUCAUAUGAGUUAUUGAGCAUAGAGUUUUAUUGUGUGGCUGAUCUUAUGAUCCAUGGCAGUAGCAUUGUGAAAUGCUCCAUUACAUUUUUCUGUGAUGAUCAGCAUUUCUGAGGCUUAUAACUUUUAUGUCAUAUUGUCGAAAUUGUAUUGUGAUUGAAUAGGUUUGUUGAUUGUGUUUAUGUGCAGGACUUGCCCCGUACGUUCCCUGGUCAUCCCUGGUUGGACACCCCAGAGGGACAUGCUGCUCUUCGUCGCGUUCUUGUUGGGUAUUCAUUCCGUGAUUCAGAAGUUGGAUAUUGUCAGGUCAGUCUGUUAUAGCUUUCGAGAAUAUACAGGAGGCAUUCUUUAGGUUCCUAGGUUAUCAUGGAUGUGAAUGGCAGAAAGUUUAAUAUGUUACAAAAAACCAAUAUUGUUGAAGUGUAAUUUUGUUGGUUUUUCUCAUGGCUGUUACAUGAAGGUUUCUCCAAAAGCUGCAGUAUGUUUAGCAAUUCCAUUUUGUCAAUGUUAUUGUGUUUUGAGAAAUGUACUGAACAACCAAUUUCAUAUGUAUGCAACGCAUUGGACAACUACUUUUUGUUCAGGUUCUGUCAGUCUGAGUUUCUUCCUUAUAGCACCUCUAAUCAACACAAGUAAAAUACACCUAACUGGUAACCCCCCUCCCUCCUUUUGUGUUUUCCUUUGCUUUUUCAUAACCAAUAGUUAACAAUAAUUGUUUUGCUGCACCACUCUAAAGAAAAUGUCCUGUGUUUGAAACUCUGAACUGCACCCAAAACUAGAGACUAAUCAGGGCAAAACACUAUGUUCUUCCUCAACAGUCACACCCUAAUCUCAUUAGUUUUUAUUUUAUGCACCCACUGAAGUAUGGGUAUGCUCAAAUAUUUCAGAAGGAUCGACUGGAACAGAUUAUGUAAUCACACAAUGCUUGGGGGCCAUUCUGUCUUUCGUUUAGUAUCUUUAGAGAAUAUAUUAUUUGAAGUGUUUCCCCAGAUAGUUGAUAAAGCAACAAAGUUGGUUCUCCUUUAUUUACUUGCUUAAGAAUUGAUUCCUUUUGGCUGUUGGUAUUUACUUAAAUGGAUUGGUUCAACUUUCUUGGUGCAGGGCUUAAAUUAUGUUGCGGCACUGUUACUGCUUGUGAUGAAAACAGAGGAAGAUGCAUUUUGGAUGCUAGCUGUUCUCCUGGAGAAUGUCUUGGUCAAUGACUGUUAUACAAAUAAUUUAUCAGGAUGUCAUGUCGAACAAAGAGUUUUCAAGGAUUUCCUUGCUAAGAUGUGUCCAAGGUACCUUCCUUUCUUUUUUUUGGAUGUGUUCUUCUGAUUUAAGAGCCUUAGCCUAAAAUGGCAUAUAUUUCUUCUAUAUAUACUCUAACAAUUUGAAGAACAAUGCAGGAUGGCAGCGCAUUUGGAAGCAUUGGAGUUUGAUGUAUCCCUUGUUGCCACUGAGUGGUUUCUGUGCCUCUUUUCUAAGAGCUUGCCUUCAGAGGUUAGAUACUCUUUUGCCUCUAUCUCUCUUUAUUACUUCACUAGAAUAGAAACAUACUGAAAGUAUUUGUGGCUUUAUUCCGCUGCUAACACUUUCAUGGGUCUCUUUUACCUUUUUUGCAAAAGACGACUCUAAGGGUGUGGGAUGUCCUUUUCUACGAAGGGGCGAAAAUUAUGUUUCAUGUGGCUUUAGCAAUCUUUAAGGUACAAGAAAUUAUGGGCUUUUUCUUUUGUUGGUACUAGUUGUGCAAAUUUACUGGCUCUUAAGUUAAUCAUUGAUUUCAUGAUUCGCAAUUGCAGAUGAAGGAACAUGAGUUGCUUACAACCCAUCAUGUUGGAGAUGUAAUUAAUAUUCUACAGAAAACCACUCAUCAUCUAUUUGAUCCAGAUGAGCUAUUGACGGUAACACGUUUGUGCUUGCUCUUUUAUAUGAUUCACUUGAGCGAAACUUGCAUAACAUGCAUGCAAUAUUUUCAAUAAAUCUUUUGGCAUGGAUCAUGACCUAAGGGAAUAGCUCAUCUUUAAUUUAUAGCUGAUGUUAAAUGGACUCAUGAGAGGUUGUCCGAGUUUAAGGAAGUUGCUAAACAUGGAGUGAAAUACAUUGUUUUCUAAAUCUGUGCCUGUGGACAUUGUUUGGUUUCCUCCUAAUGCACUGUCAUAAUCAUUCCAGGUAGCAUUUGAUCAGAUAGGUUCCUUUACAACCAACACUAUAUCGAAGCAGAGGAAAAAGCAAGAACCAGAAGUGAUGAAGGAGCUUGAUCAGAGAUUAAGACGGCUAAAUUCCCUGAAAUUGGAAGACAGUAAUAUAUCGAGUCAAAAUGCGGAAUGUCACUCAACCUAGCUGGAUCAGUUGCUCCUCUAGGGAAGAAAACUGAGUUUGUUGCCUCCUCCUGUUUGUUCCUGUAAAAAGGAGGAACGAACAAGUAAAGAGAGUUGCCCUGUUGUCUAUUAUUAGAUGUUGUGUUGUAGUAGAGGAUCAUUGUACAUUUCUGACCGUUACCAUAUAUACUGCAAAUUAGGGCAUUGUUGCACUUGCUUGAUUGCCCUGUAAUUUUUGCUUCAAUGUUGUGCCUACACUUCUCCAGUGACUGAAACUUCAAUUCUUUCAUUUUAUAUUCUUGAUCUGAAUUUUUGGUUAUUUCCUAAACAUAGCUUGCUGAGCCUUGAGCUUAUAGAGACUUCUUAUUACUUGCACAUCCACAUCUUUCACAAGCAGAUGAUGAUUGCUGCUCCCUAAUCCAUGUCUAAAAGGCAUUUUCUUUCUGUAAAAUUGGUGACCAACCGUUUAGUAGCUAAAACAAAAUGAAAUAGGGAUCAUAUUUAGCCUCUUCUUAUAAAACGGAAAGAAAAUAACAUUGUUUUUAUUGUGUUAGGGUACCAAAGGUUUACUAGACCCAAGAAUUAACCUAUCGGCGCAUGUGAAGUGUUUUUACUAUGCAUUGCAACAUAGUAUUCUGACCAGUUUGUCAGCUUAUGCUCUAAUGCAUUGCAGUAUAGUGUUGGUUGUGGUAGUUUCGUGAAUGAAACUCGAAUUGUGAGUUCUCUACUUGACAUUUGACUGUUUAACUAUGAUGUUUGCGGUUACUUUCGUGAAUCGAACUCGGAUUGAAGGUUUUUCUACUUAACACUCGAUUGUUUAACUAUGUAUUACAAUAUGAUGUUGUAUGUGGUCAAUUUCGUGAAUAAAACUCGGGUCGAGAUUCUCUACCUGAUGCUCGAUUACUAAGCCACUUGCAUUGAUUGACAAUAGUAAUAUUGUCGUAAUGAAUUUAUAGUGCUCGUGAACUUUUUCAAAUUUUUUCAUGAACUUUUUCAUAUAUGUAAAUGUUAUUUAUGUCUUGUAAUCAAGUGACAUGUAAAGAGUCUUGCAAAAUAAAAUCCAACAAAGAGGGAAAGAUAUCUUGUCCAAAAAUUAGGAUAUUAGUGAUUUUUGGCAUCACACUAGUACCAUAUAUAUGGAUACACAACCCAAAUCUCCCUCCAAUCCCAGAACUUGUCAUCUUCACUAGCUCCCUCAUAAAAAUGCAAACUUCAUCGAAACCCAUUCAAAGCUUCCAUUUAUACUAUGAACCCAAAACCCCAAAUCACUAAACCCUCAAAACCCAGACCCGGAAACCCGACCCAAUGUCCCCGGAGCGGCAACCCUGGACCAUCGAUCCCGACCUCGACGGGAUCGACCUCGACGCCGCCGACUUCGCCUCCUCCCUCCCCUUAAAAAAAGUCCCACACGGCGACGUUUUCGAGGCCUCACGCGCCGGCGACGUGGAGCGCCUCAGGUACUUGCUGGAGUUUGGAGUCAACGUCAACGCGCGUGACCGGUGGGACUCGGUGGCGCUCUACUACGCGUGCCUCGCCGGACAUCUUGAGGCGGCGCGUAUGUUGCUGGAGAGCGGCGCUAUUUGCACGGAGCAUACAUUUGACGGCGAUCGGUGUCAUUACGCGGCGUUGAAUUUGAAGGUUAGGAAGCUUUUGAAGGCGUUUGAGGCCAGGCCGCCGCCGCUGGGGCCGUUGCAGGCGGCGAUGAGAGAGACGUUCUUGGGCUGUGCGGCUAAUUGGGCCUAUUUGGAGCAGGCCCAGUUUGAAUCUUCAGGUAUUUUUGAUUAGAUGAACUGCAAUUGCUUAUACAUUGGUGUGAAUUUUGUUGUGGAAUUGAAAUGGAGUAAUGGGUUGGUGUUGGUUUUUACAGCUGAAGUGGUUUAGGACUCUUGGUUUUUGUUGGUAUAUACAAUUGCAUAUUUUGUUGGAGAAAUAGGUUCAUUUCUGCCUAUGUAUUGUUAUGAACUUAUAAUGAAGAAGGUUUUAGUUCAUUUCUUUACCAGUAUAGAGUGUAGACUGUAGUGUGAGGAUUGCUUUAUUAAACUGUAGAUGGUACGAUGCUCGGUUUGGUCUUGUGAGGUGAAUAGGAUAGGUUGAGUUUUGAAGAGGCAGACAAGUUUAAGCAUUUUCUGUUUGUGUUUAUAUAUUCUGAAAUAUGGCGAUGAAUUAUGACAAUGUCAGUCUUGAUUGUAGCUUAAGCUAAGAUUUGUGUCCAUUGCAGUUACAUCUGUGUCAAUAUCAGCACAUAUGGUCUUUGCAUAUAUGUCUCUCUUUCAAGAAGAAUAUGUAUGUUAAAGUGACACACGGCAUUUGGUAUUCGUGAGUAGGUCUUCCGGCCAGUGAUGGAUACUUCCCUCCAGAUGUGGUAUUUUUUGUUCAAGGCAGAGCCAUUGAAGCACAUAGAGUCAUCUUAAGUGCACGGUCACCAUUUUUCAGAAGAAAGUUUGUGACUGAUUGGAAAGAGCGCAGAGAAGUGAGAUUUUCAAAGGAAAAGUUGUCAUAUCCUGCUUUAUACAGUCUCAUCCAAUUCUUCUACUCCGACAGACUAGAAGUUGCUGUAGAUGAUAUGGAGGAUCUUGUGAGGAUCUGCAAAGUAUGUAAAUGUGAAUCUUUACAAAGGGUUCUCGAGAAAGAAUUGAUUCACCAAAAGUAUGCUGAGUACAAGGCAUUGAGAGACAUAGACAGCUCUGUAAAACGAUUCAUCUUACAAGGUGUGUCUCUUCCUGAAGAAGAUCGACUUCCUGCGACUUUGCAUGAGAUCCUUCAGAUUUCCCUUGCCAAUUCUACUGGUGAUGAACUUAACAUAGAUAAUGGUAUCAAAGAACUAAUAUCUUCUGUUGAUACCAUGGAAAUCAGUGAUUCUGUAGAGGAUCUUGCAGAUGUUUGCAUUAGAGUUGAUAAAAAGAGUUUCCGAUGCCAUCAAGUGGUUUUAGCAUCAAGGUCUGAGUAUUUUAAAGCAAGAUUAUCCCGCAUGAAGGACUUUCAUGAAGGAAAAAGUGAUAUACCUGUUCAUACCCUUCCAUGUCUUGAGGAACAUGAUUUAAGCUCUGAAGCAUUCGAAAAGAUGAUCGAGUAUAUGUAAGUGUUUUAAUAUCGAAGAUGAAUUAGAUUAUAUGAAGAACUAUGCUUACAUUUUGUUAUUUGGUUGUUUAUUUUCUGGUUUUUUAUUAUUAUUACAUAAUAACAAUAACUGAUACUUGCCUCGUGAGCAUCUGAUUGUACUUGUGUGAUCAACAUGCUCUUUUUGUUUGGGUUUUUCAUCUCAUGCAACUUUCUGACUCCUUUGGUUGGUUCAGGUACACUGACGGAUUGAAGGAUAUAGACCCAGAUCAGGUAAGAUUAUAUGUUAAUAUGAGCUUCUAAUUUCCAGCAAGGAGAAAAAAAAAAUAAAUCCUGUGACAUUAUUUUUAUCUUUAUUCCUGAAAGAAAUACACUUACUUCUCCAGUGCUUUAAUUGUGAUCGUUAACCAUGCAGGCUGGGGAACUCUUUGAUGCUGCCUCUAGAUAUUUAUUAUUUCCUCUUAAGCGUGCUGUUGCUGAUGUACUGCUGCCACACCUGGAAAAUGUCUCACCAGCAGAAUUGUGCAAUUGGCUGGUAUUGUCAGACAUGUAUGGUUCUCCUUUAUCUCACACAGCAGAUUUCUCCUCCUUGGAUAUUUUUAUCAAUAGCCUGUGAUUUUGAUUCAUGGCAUUUGUGUAUAGGUAUGGUGUCUUGAAGAUAAGAGAAUUUUGUUUAGAUACAAUAGCUUGUAACUUUGAGACAUUUGCUGACACUCGUGAAUUCCGAGCAAUGCUGUUGACACUCCCUCCACCAUCUGGGGAUUCAUCACUUCGCACCACUAAUCCAAGUGCACCGGGAGCUGAAGUCAAUACAGACCAACACAAUGUUCUUGAUGACUUGCGAGAAAAAUGGCUUGAAGCUGAAGCUGGGGAGCUUGACGAGAGAGAUGAGAGCGCACUAAUCUUUGAUAAGCGACUUGAGAUGCUUAUGGUUGUUGCAGAACAAGAAAAGUCUGAUGCAGAUCUUACUGAUGAUAUCAAUGGCUCCUAGAACAUGCGUCUCCAUACACUGAACAAGAAGACUGUGUAGGUUAGCCAAUUUUGUUUCUUUUCCACUAUACUAUAAAUAAGAUACUUGUAAGUCUUUUCGAAUUGGAAUAUAGAAAAAAAUACAUUUGUGUUGAAGUUGUUCCUGCAAAAGAAUUAUUAGUCAUACCUUAAAAGUAUAUUUAUUUGAUGUUUAAAUUAACAGAAAAUUACUCCACAACAGAUGAAAUGUAUUAGCACAGUUUUAUACCAACAAAUACUUCAAAUUUCAGAAAGAUCAAGAGUGUUGUCUCAUAGAAGAAAUGUUGGAAUUUCUGAACAUAUAGGCCUGUGACAACUUCUCUCCUAUUCAUUAUAUUCACAGCUAUGCUUACUAUCCUAGUUGAGUUUCACAGAGUUGAUGUCUAAUCCUCACUGGUACAACUUUCAUUUGCCUGAAGCAGAAGCAGUUCUGGCAUUUCCUGGAGCGCGCAUUUGUAAGCUUAAGGAGAAUGCAGUAAUCAUUCACCAUGUACCUAAAGAGAGUUGAAUCUGUACGUACGUACUGAGUCGUCCUAUCAUGAUAGGGGAUAGAUGAACAUCAUAGCUUCCAACAGGACGAGAAUUUCCCCAUUAGCUCCACAGUAGAAGUCUCUCUCCACAAACUGCUCAUCGAAACUUCAAAAGUUCCAUUUCUUUCGUCAAAAUGUCAGUGAAGUAGAUCGUGAAUGUUUGCAAGAGCAGCAAGAUGGCAUAGGAACAUGAGCAUGUCGUUGGCCAUAUGACAUUGUUCACCGGCAAUAUGACAUUGUUCAUGACUCAAAGGUUCGAAUGCCUAGGAAACAAUGUUGAUGUCCUCCUGUGAAGGCAAAACGUAGAAACUGUUCCUUAUUUAUCUGUGGGAUGUGAGUUCACUGAUUUGAAUUUCUGCUAGAAGUACUUGGCCUUGUUUAUUUGUAUCAAAAUGAUUACCAUUUGUUGCUUGGCGGGCAAGCUUUAAGUUGAACAAGGUUGACAGUCUAAAAUUUAAUAUUUUCUGUAUAAAUAACGCUUUCUCCCGCUUCACAUUAUUCAACAAGAAAUGCCCCGUUGAAAGAAUAUAUAUAACCUGAUAGGAAAAUUAAACUAACAGAAUUUACAAAAAUUUUCCUUUUCCUCCUGUGGUAUAUGAGCCCCAUCAAACAAUGAGUCCCUGCAAGAUCAAGAGCAAGAGCAGGAGAGCGACCAGAGCAAGAGCAGGAGAGCGACAUGGACAAGUUCAAUUUCCUUUUCCUCAGCCAGAAGAUUAAUUUCCUUCUUGUUGGGAAGUAGUGUCGUCAUUGAUGGACAAGUUCAAGGCUUCACUAGCCAAACCUGCUUCGCUCUCACCAGCAUCAGAAGCUUUAGUAGGGGAUCUCUCGGGACUGGUAAUGCCUGACUCUGAUUCUCCUUGUGCUUGCUGCAUACUCCAGUACAUGAUGCUUGCAGUCAAAAUAAGGAUCAUCUUCUGGUUUACCUGUCAUAUCACAGGAGAUGGUAUACUUGGAAUGUCAUACCAACUUACGUAACAAUACAUUUGGUCGAAUUAAGUACAACUAGAACUUCAGAAGAAAGUUGCAAACAUCAUCUAAUGGUCUUUCUUUGCCUAAGUAGUUCUGAGUAUCAACGGACAAACAAAUCAGAAUUUCGGCAACACCAGCUUACAAAAUUAUUUUCACGUAUGACAGAGGUUAAGUUAUAUGAACUGUAAGGGACACAGCAACAAGCUCAAUGAACUGGCCCAACGAACAUUAAAGAUACUUUUAUGAAUUUAGAGUACAUAGUAAUGCUUCAAUAUGCUGCUCUCAAUUCAGAAUUUUGGGAUCUAGUGAUCUAAUGGAUAAAAAGCCAUUGAUGCUUAUAUAUAUGAGUCAUAAGAUGGAUAAAUAGUCAUUACUACAGCUAUAAUAUCCUUACCUCAAUGAUGUCCUCAGGUAACAAGAAAAUGGAGCAACCAAGCUUUCGAGCGACACUAAUUAUAUAUGUUGCAUUCAGCUUCUUAUCUUCCUCUGCAAUGUUGAUGGUGAUGAAGUAAAAUAACUCACAAAUAACAAAGGAAAUAUAACUUAUUAGAUCAACUGAACAUUUCCCCAUGUUUCUUUUUAAGAGUGUCAUUCAUCAUGCAUAAGUAAGCUGUUCCGGUCCCUAGGAAGCCCACAAAUUGUGAGCUUAAUACCUUCAUUUCUUGAGAAACAACAAUUAAACUUCUGAUAAUCCAAUUCAACAGGCCUACAAGUUUUUCAAUAAUAAAAAAAAUACCAAAACUAAACCAUGCGAUGAAUGACAAAAUGAUAUACCAGUUUCUCCCUUGGUGGCAAGAGUCCAAUUGACCACCCUUGGCUCCACAGCACUAAGAAGCUCGAGGAAGAAAAUUCCACUUGAGAGGUUUUUAUCCUAAAAGUUCAAGAGAGAACCACAGACGCUAAAUUGAUCACCAACUAAGAGAUGGAUGUCAUCUUUUUGUCAAAACUAAAGAGCAUUGUAUUAGAUUACCUUGAAACUCUCCAUUUGGGAGGUUCUACCCGCCUUCUUCACCUUUUUGUUUGCCCAGUCUAGAAUUUCAGCAUCACUUAUCUCUUUACCAGCUUUACCAUGGGAAUGUGAUCUCAAGUUUCUCAGGAGUUGAAGCAUACUAAACCUCAUCAACUGCCACAAAUAAGCUGGGGGAAAGGGGGUACUUAACAUUAAAUAGAGCUAUAAAAUGGCUUCCAAAUUCACUUCUCUGCCCAAGAAGUAUCUCCAAAUGUUUAUUAAGCUAUGAAUUAAGAAAACAGUAGAAAUCCUCAAAAUAAAACGCCUAAACAGAAAAGCACAACUUACUAUUAGAAGCCCAAUAUUUGUUUCGAAGUCAUGUCAUAAAAUUCUUAUAGUGUGUAUCACAAUUCACAACUUAGUAAGUUUUUAAUGUUGCUGUGUUUUCAACAAAAGAAACUGUAAAGGAAAACUUUUCGACUUACCCAGUAUGAGCUUCUUAUUUCCUUGCACGAUAUCAUUACCAGCUACAUUCACAAGCGAGAAAUUUAAUUCCUUCCCAAUCGCUAUAACUUGGUUACAAUUCUCAAGCUUUUUGAAUGGCAUUUUUAUUGGAGGCUUUGAGGCUGUUUUCCAGUUGACUAAUCCAGAAGCAAUUUUGUCAAGCAGUUCCAAAAGAACCCAUCUGCAUGCAAAAGGUAUAUAGUUCAAUCACAAGUUAACCAGGCUAGAAUGCAUGUGCUUCUAUGGAGUCAGAGGGAGGAUGGAUACAAAAUCUCACCCAUUUCUAACAUCUUCGAAAAGAUUGUUAACGUAGGUUGCAGUUCCAAGGCUGUUAAUCCACAGUCGGAAGCAUCUCUCUUCCCGAGAAGUUUGUGCAUCAUCUGUCAUCAUCUCAGCGAACGAUAUUUUUUUACUAUCUGCAGUCAAUCCAUUCCUGCAGAGAACGCACACGGCAUACAUACAGAUUUCAAUAAUAUGCACCAGGGUCAUUAAUUAGUUCAGGAAGAACUAAAUAUUGCGCUGCACAAAAAAGCACUAGGCAUUAUACAGAUUACUGUGGAAUACAAAAAUUGAAAUCAGGAGCAUGAAAGUGAAAGAGAAGGAAAAGUAAGUUAAAACACCAAUAGAUGUGUUUACCGGGUGGCCAGGGUACCAGCAGUUGCAUGUUUCACAUUGACAAAAUAAUUUAAACAGAGAACAUCAUAUUAUUUCUAGAGGAAUAAAGGAUGGUGAUUAAUGAUAGAGGAAACAGCUCUUCAUAUUCAGAAUGAAAAUUAUGCAAGUGAACAAAAGAGGAAACAACUCUUCAUAUUGCAGGUUUAAACAAAAGCACUUUUGAACUAUUCUUGCUUGCCUGUGCUGGAAGAUUUGUGCAACAAAUGCAAGAUUAAGAUUUGGUGAGCCCUCAACAAUGUCUUUAGCAGUGAGAUAUCUUUUGCACUCCAAUUUCUCAGCUUGCUCAAGAACCAUUUUUGCUCUUUCCAUAGGAUCUUUUGUAUUCAAGGAAGCUGGGCCUGAGACCUCGGGUGCAACCGCAUUAAUCAAGUAAGCAUAAGCCGCUCCAUCCUGCAAAAGCAUAAAAUUGAUAUGUGGUUCAAAGAUAAUAAAUAAAAAAAAACAAAAUUAAAAAGAAAGAUACCCUAUAACAUACUUAGACAAGAAAAUCAUGUUGAAUAAUUCAAAGUAUUUGCUUUAUAUGCAAAGAAGCAACAAAUUCUAGUGGUACAGUGACCAAAAUACAAUGUGAUGAUGAGGAGCAUGCAGAAACAUAUAAAAGUUUCUAAGAGAGUGUCCCUAAAUGAAGAGUUGCAUGCAAAUACAUUCAAUCAAAAAAAGUUAUUCUCAUUCUAAACUCGCCAAGUCAUUUAGCCAUGCCAACUUACAACAUGGAAGUUUGUGGAGAUGUAAGUACUUUGCAUUUGUGGAAAAAUAACAUUUAUUAAGAUAUAUUGGUAAAGUACGGAAACAGAUAAGUGGCAUUUUGCAUCAGAUCUGUCCACAUAAAAAGGACCAUACCAGUCAAAAAUGUGGAAGGUUACAUGAAAUGUUGAUCAUUUCAGUGUCUACAUUAUGAAACUGAUCACAAUGGAAGAAACAUUGUUGCAAUCAAGCUGAUGCAUACAGUGCUCAUCCUCAAUCUAAUCGGUCAGCAUGCUCUUACCUUGAUAUCAGAAGAGAAGUUUGUCACUUGUUUUUCAUAUCCAGCUUUCUUCAGAUGAAAAUUCAUCCAUUUCAGUAGAACCUUCUCUGGUGGUAGACCCAAGAGCUCCUCCACCUCCUGUCCAUUAACAGAACAUCUGAAGUAAAUCAUCAACAUAUGUAACAAUGUAACAGUCUAACCACAGAAAAUCCACCCUCAUUUAACCAAGCCUCAAAAGAAACAUAUAUAAACUAUGUGACCUGGCUGUCAUCCACCAAUUCCACAAGCUGUGGAGUUUUCUUGAGAUUAAGAUCAGCUAACAGUUGAAUCUGAUAUUUCCACGAAAUGAAAGGAUGAGUCAGUAGUUUAAGCUUUCAUAAACCAAAUUUUAGGCAUUACGGUUUGCGCAAGCUAAGAGACACAGGGGCAAGAAGGGAUCAGUACUCAAUACCUUGAUUAUUUGAGAGAUCAAGCCGAGCAGAAGAUGAGGCUGCAAAGUAUGGAUAUGAUAGCAAGUUAAGAAAAAGUGGUAAGCUAAGACCAAGUUGGAAGACUAAGAAGUUUUAAUGGGGAGCUCAUGGUGCUAAACUUACCCUUCCUUCAGCCAAAUCCUGAGUGCCAAUGUUAACCACAGUGCAGCCAAUAGCUUUUGCUGAAUUAAGACAAAGUGUAUGGUUCUCAUUUCUCUCCCAUGGAUUAAGGACUGCUUUAGUGUUGAUAGCACGCUCAUCUAUAGUCCCAGGAACUGCUAUGUUGAUUAGCUUACUACACGAAGCAACUAAAAUAAUCAACAAACUUGAAAAUGCCUUGUCAACAUAUUGAACAGAAAUUGUGGAGUGGUUCCAGCAUCCUUACCAAAGGAGAACUCCAUCUUUUGCAAGAUCAAAUAAAGCAUUUGUAGCUGGAUCUAAUGGAAGAUACUUCUUCAAGAACGAAUCUUCUGCCAGGUAGCUGUUAACGUGGGCGACAUAAGAAGCCUUUUCAUUCUCAUUGAUCGAGUGAUGAACAGUUGUAGUGGUUGCCUUGAGAAAUGAAGUCACCCUUUUGUAACCGCCACCAGUACGACCAGAUUUUUUCACUGCACGGGCUUGCAAAUUCAAAUGCGCCUGCCAAACACGGUCAGUUUUCAUACCAUACCAUUGUAUCCAACAAAUGUUAGUACUUGAUGUACAGUUAAAAAUAACAAACUUCUGGUUUGCUAAUUUCACAAGAUCCCACUUGUUGAAUCUGUUUCAAUUUAGCUAAACCAAAUCCUUGUUCCAACUACCAACAUCAAUUACCUAUGCUUCAGACACUUACCCGCAGAAAGGUCUCGAACUCAAGAUCUUCACCACUGUCCAAAUUUGACUCCUCCAACAUGGUCUUAAUCUCAUCUUCUGAGAACGUUUCAGUAAAAGCCCUCAGUUUUGCAAAAAUAGCCGGCAAAUCUUUAACCGUGACGCGGCCAUUCUGAGUCUUAGUUGAGAGAAACUACAACCAACACAACAGACCCCAUUGCACAUAUCACCACAAAAUCAUAACAAAUCCCAUUUCACAUAUCACCACAAAAUUACUACUCGAUCAUGUAAUUUUUUUCAUAAUACAUAUAUAUUUUCAGAACUCUACACAACAGAAAAGUAACGUUUUGAGAACAAAUCAGAAUAGAAGCUUACUUUUGAUUUGAGGGUACGAAGCUCAACUUGGGUGAAUUGAGCCUGCAGCUCUGUAUCAUUAACAACAACACCCACAAAGCUAGACAUCUUGUCCUUUGUUUGUGCGCAAAACUAACCCUGAUCAUCCAAAAACAAUCACAACUAGUCAUACACAGACCUAAACAUUAAAAUGCUCUAGGAAUUACCCUCACCAGAUCCACACAUAUCAAAAAAAAAAAAAAAAAAAACACCAAUUGAGGAACAAUGUCAAUAUGUCAUAGAUGGAAAUCAACGUGCAUGCAAUCAAAGAACGCGUCUUUAUGAUUGACCCAAAAAUGGAAAUCAGACAGACAAAAAAAUGGAAACACAAAUGAGUAUCCAUGUAC
rnacentral:lncRNA from 1 species